AGUGAAGGAUUGGGUGGGAGGGUUGGAGAGGGCGUCAGUCUGGUGCCCCAGAGGGGACGGGGAAAUGGGGCUAGACAGGGUGGGAAAGUGAAAAGAAAUGACUGGAGCAGGGGUUAGGGAAGGCAGAGAGGGGAGGAGUGUAGGAGGUUGGUAGGAGAACAUGGCUGAAGGAGGAGGCUGGAAGACCUGGGGAGUGGGGAGGUCAGGAAGCAGGGAGGCAGAGCUUUGAGAAGACAAUUGGAGACCCUGUGAAGGGCAGGAAAGGCCUGGGAAGGCACCCUGAAGGGAGAGAGGUCCUUGGUGGGAGGUCAAGGUGGAGGCUGGGAAUCAAAAUGAGAUGCUCACAGGGAUAAGGAGGGGAGCACAGUUGGGAAGAGAUCAGGGGUGAUGGGAAGGGCACCCCGUCAGUGGAGGCCAGGGAGCUGAAGGUUGGCUAGAGCUCAGGACACAUUCUUUUCGGGGAGGAGCACUGAGCUUGAUCUCUCACUCCAGAGCCUUCAGCAGGGAAGAAAGAUGUCAGAUGACGAGCUGGAAGACUUCGAGCCAGACCAGGACGAUCUGGAAAAAGAAGAUGAUGAGAAGGAGACAGAGGAGUGGGAGGACUACAGGAAGGAGGGAGAAGAGUACUCAGAGGAAUGGAUGCUCAACCCCCUCACGGAGGACAUGAUGAAGGAAGGGCUUUCUUUGCUCUGUAAGACGGGCAAUGGACUGGCUCAUGCUUAUGUCAAGCUGGAGGUUAAAGAGAGGGACCUGACCGACAUCUACCUGUUACGGUCCUACAUCCAUCUGCGCUACGUGGAUGUUUCCGAGAACCACCUCACAGACUUGUCCCCACUCAAUAACCUGACCCACCUGCUCUGGCUCAAGGCCGAUGGCAACAAUCUGCAGAGCGCACACCUGAACGAGCUGCCAUACCUGCAGAUUGCCAGCUUUGCCUAUAACCAGAUCACUGACACUGAGGGCAUCUCCCACCCUCGUCUGGGCAGCCUGGAUCUCAAAGGGAACCGCAUCCGCAGGGUGACUGGUCUGGACCCCCAAAAGCUGAUCAGCCUGCACACACUGGAGCUGCGGGGGAACCAGCUGGAGAGCACCCUGGGAAUCAACCUUCCUAAACUGAAGAACCUCUUCCUGGCCCAGAACAUGCUGAAGAAAGUGGAGGGCUUGGAGCACCUAAGCAAUCUCACUACCUUGCAUCUUCGAGACAACCAGAUUGAAACGCUGAGUGGCUUCUCCAAAGAAAUGACAUCACUGCAGUAUCUCAAUCUGAGGGGCAACAUGGUGACCCACCUGGGGGAGCUAGCCAAGCUUCGGGACCUGCCCAAGCUGCGAGCCUUGGUGCUGUUGGACAACCCGUGUACAGAUGAGACCGACUAUCGCCAGGAGGCCCUGGUACAGAUACCACACCUCGAGCGUCUGGAUAAAGAUUUCUUCGAGGAGGAGGAGCGGGCUGAGGCUGAAGAGAUCCGUCAGAGGUUGAAGGAGACCCAGGAGGAGGAGGCUGAGGCUGAGCAUAACUCUGAACCGAAAGUGCCAUCCGUGUAGCUCUUUGAGCCUCCAAGGAUGGUGAGGAAGCUGACAAGAGAGGCGGGAAGAGGAGGCCAAGGGUCUGUCAGCCCGAGCCAGAGAAGUUGCUGUAGGAGGAGGUGGUUGAGGAAAGAAUAUGGAGAUCAAAGACACUGGCCCUAAGACCUGAGAAGACUCCCAGAGAGCAGAGCUUCCACAUUCAACCCCUCAUCCUGAGACAGAGCAUGCAUGGCUUCUCUUGGCCUAGACCUGGGAAUUCACAGCCUGCUGCCCAGGCUCUGUAAUGGGCACCUGGGCAGCGUCUGGGUGGGUCCGAUCCCUGAUCCCUGCCUGGAACCUGUGUGUGUGUGUGUGUGUGUGUGUGCGCGCGCGCGCGCGCGCGCGCGUUUGUCUGGGGGGAGGGGUGUGUGUUGGGGGUGCUGCUCAGGCAGGUGUAGGGGAACCAGGCCGGGAUCUGCCCAGGGGAUGCUUGCAGAAUUGGCUGCAGAGGAGCUGCGGAGGUGGAGGGGUGUGUGAGAAACAGUUUGGUUUUCAA